ensembl:snoRNA
AUUCGUCUGCAGUUCAUACACAUGAUGAUUGGGUUUUGCACUGUUGUAAGAUGUGCUUUCCUCAAACCUCAUUACAGCAUCAGCACAUUACCCCCAUCUGAUG